rnacentral:rRNA from 1 species
GUCUAUAGCCAUGCUACCCUGAACAAGCCAGAUCCCGUCUGAUCUCAGAAGCUAAGCAGGGUAGGGAGACCACCUAGGAAGACCAGGUGCUGUAGGCA